CUACGUGCCAGCAGCCGCGGUAAUACGUAGGUGGCAAGCGUUGUCCGGAAUUAUUGGGCGUAAAGCGCGCGCAGGCGGAUCAGUCAGUCUGUCUUAAAAGUUCGGGGCUUAACCCCGUGAUGGGAUGGAAACUGCUGAUCUAGAGUAUCGGAGAGGAGAGUGGAAUUCCUAGUGUAGCGGUGAAAUGCGUAGAUAUUAGGAAGAACACCAGUGGCGAAGGCGACUUUCUGGACGAAAACUGACGCUGAGGCGCGAAAGCCAGGGGAGCGAACGGGAUUAGAUACCCCGGUAGUCCUGGCCGUAAACGAUGGGUACUAGGUGUAGGAGGUAUCGACCCCUUCUGUGCCGGAGUUAACGCAAUAAGUACCCCGCCUGGGGAGUACGACCGCAAGGUUGAAACUCAAAGGAAUUGACGGGGGCCCGCACAAGCGGUGGAGUAUGUGGUUUAAUUCGACGCAACGCGAAGAACCUUACCAGGUCUUGACAU
rnacentral:rRNA from 1 species